rnacentral:rRNA from 1 species
UACGUAGGGUGCGAGCGUUGUCCGGAAUUAUUGGGCGUAAAGGGCUUGUAGGCGGUUUGUCGCGUCUGCCGUGAAAGUCCGGGGCUCAACUCCGGAUCUGCGGUGGGUACGGGCAGACUAGAGUGAUGUAGGGGAGACUGGAAUUCCUGGUGUAGCAGUGAAAUGCGUAGAUAUCAGGAGGAACACCGAUGGCGAAGGCAGGUCUCUGGGCUGACACUGACGCUCAUGCACGAAAGCGUGGGGAGCAAACAGG